UCGCCUACGGGGCGCAGCAGUGAGGGAUAUUGCACAAUGGGGGGAACCCUGAUGCAGCGACGCCGCGUGGGUGAAGGAGCGUUUCGGCGCGUAAAGCCCUAUCGGCAGGGAAGAAGGAGGACGGUACCUGACUAAGAAGCCCCGGCUAACUACGUGCCAGCAGCCGCGGUAAUACGUAGGGGGCAAGCGUUAUCCGGAUUUAUUGGGUUUAAAGGGUGCGUAGGCGGAUCGUUAAGUCAGUGGUCAAAUUGAGGGGCUCAACCCCUUCCCGCCAUU
rnacentral:rRNA from 1 species